AAGAUAUUUGAUAUAUUUGAUGUGCCAAAUUAUAUUACGAUUUAGUAAAUUAAAUAGAGAGCUAUAAAAAAUUUCUUUGAUAUCUUUUAGGAACCUAGGAUUCUAAGGACAUCUGGUCCUCUUGAGGAAUGAAGUCGGAAAGGUAAUGAAAUCGAAUUUUUAAAUUUUAGAGGAUGGCUUAUUGCGAUUUGGGAUAGAGUGUGUGUUCGAAAUGACCCAAAUUAUGAUUUGAAUAUUAAGAGGAAAUGGCAUGACUCAAUGAUAUCGAUGACUCAUUCAAUAAAUUUAGAAAGGGCAACUAUGAGAAAGGUGGUAUCGGAGCAUGAUUUAAGGAUUACUAAUAUAUUUGAUUCAUUUGAUGUGCAAAAUGAUAUUGAGGUUUAGUAAAAGACAUCUGGUCCUUUUGAGGAAUGAAGUAGGAAAGGUAGUGAAGUCGAAAUUUUAAAUUUUCGAGGAUGGCUUAUUGAGAUUUGGGAUUGAGUGUGUUUUCGAUCUAACCCAAAUUAUAAUUUGAAUAUUAUCAUAAAAGGGUAUGAAUUAAUGAUAUUGAUGGCCUCUAUCUAUGUGCAAUCUGAUCUCUUUCAAUAAAUUUAGAAAUGGUAUCUAAGGGAUACACAUUUAAUCUACUUGAGGAUUGAACUAGAAAAUUGAUUGAAGUCGAAUUUUUAAAUUUUGGACGAUGGCAUUUUGUGUUUUGGGAAAGAGUUUGUGUUCUAAAUGAUCAAAUUAUCAAUAACCAAAUCCUGAAGCAAAGUCAUAAUUCAAAGUAUGUGAUAAUUUGUAUUAUGGAGUUUUAGACAAGGUCACACUUCUUGUAUAUAAUAAUUUGGGGGGCUUGUCAAAAGUGGUAUCGGAGCAUGAUUUAAGAAUUACUAAGAUAUUUGAUUCAUUUUAUGUGAAAAAUUAUAUUGAGGUUUAGUAAAGACAUCUGGUCUUCAUGAGGAAUGAAGUAGGAAAGGUAGUGAAGUCGAAUUUUUAAAUUUUAGAGGAUGGCUUUUUGAGAUUUGGGAUAGGCUGUGUUUUCGAACUGACCCAAAUUAUGAUUUGAAUAUUAUGAUAAAAGGGCAUGAUUUAAUGAUUUUGAUGGCUCUAUCUAUGUGCAAUCUGAUCUCAUUCAACAAAUUUAGAAAUGGCAACUAUGAGAUCCACAUAUAGUCUACUUGAGGAAUGAAGUAGAAAAGGAAUUUAAGUCGAAUUUUUAAACUUUGGAGGAUGGCCUUUUGAGUUUUGGAAUAGAGUAUGUGUUCUAAAUGAUCCAAUUAUCAAUAACCAAAUCCUGAAGCAGGGUAAUAAUUCAAAGUAUGUGAUAAUACGGAUUAGAUUGUUGAUUACAUUUUUAUUUUAUGGAUUUUAAGAAAAGCUCGCACCUCUUGUAAGUGAUAAUUUAGGGGGCGUGACAAAGGUGUUAUCGGAGCAUGAUUUAAGAUUUACUAAGAUAUUUGAUUCAUUUGAUGUGCAAAAUGAUAUAGAGGUUUAGGAAAGUCAUCUGGUCCUCUUGAGGAAUGAAGUAGGAAAGGUAGUGAAGUCGAAAUUUUAAAUUUUCGAGGAUGGCUUAUUGAGAUUUGGGAUUGAGUGUGUGUUCGAACUGACCCAAAUUAUGAUUUGAAUAGUAUGAUAAAAGGGCAUGACUUAAUGAUAUUGAUGACCUCUUUCUAUGUGCAAUCUGAUCUCUUUCAACAAAUUUAGAAACGGCAUCUAAGGGAUACACAUUUAAUCUACCUGACAAAUGAAGUAGAAAAGGGAUUGAAGUCGAAUUUUUAAAUUUUGGACGAUGGCCUUUUGUGUUUUGGGAUAUAGUAUGUUUUCUAAAUGACCCAAUUAUCAAUAACCAAAUCCUGAAGCAAAGUCAUAAUUCAAAGUAUGUGAUAAUUUGAGGAUCAGAUUGUUGAUUACAUUUUAAUUUUUUUGAUUUUCAGACAAGGUCACACCUCUUGUAUAUGAUAAUUUGGGGGGCGUGACAAAGGUGGUAUCGGAGCAUGAUUUAAGGAUUACUAAGAUAUUUGAUUCAUUUGAUGUUCAAAAUUAUAUUGAGGUUUAGUAAAUUAUAUAGAGAUCGAUGAAAAUUAUAUUUGAUGUCUUCUAGGAAUCUAGGAUGACAUCGACAUUUGGUCUUCUUGCUUAUGAAUUGUGGAUUAUGGGUGUGAAUUAUGACUUGAACGAUUUUUGGUGUCCCCAUAUUUAGUUUGGAUUUUGUAUUAGAUUGUUGAUUAAAUUUUAAUAUUUUGGAUUUUAAGACAGGGUCCCACCUCCUAAAUGUGAUAAUUCGGGGGGCGUGACAAAGGUGGUAUCAGAACAUUAUUUGAGGAUCACUGUAAGAUAUUUGAUACAUUUGAUUUGCCAAAUUAUAUUACGAUUUAGUAAAUUAAAUAGAGAGCGAUAAAAUAUUUCUUUGAUAUCUUUUAGGAACCUAGGAUUCCAAGGACAUCUGGUCCCCUUGAGGAAUGAAGUCGGAAAGGUAAUGAAAUCGAAUUUUUAAAUUUUAGAGGAUGGAUUAUUACAAUUUGGGAUAGAGUUUGUGUUCAAAAUGACCCGAAUUAUGAUUUGAAUAUUAAGAGGAAAUGGCAUGACUCAAUGAUAUCGAUGGCUCUAUCUAUGUGCAAUCUGAUCUCAUUCAACAAAUUUAGAAAGGGCAACUAUGAGAUCCACAUAUAAUCUACUUGAGGAAUGAAGUAGAAAAGGAAUUUAAGUUGAAUUUUUAAAUUUUGGAGGAUGGCCUUUUGAGUUUUGGAAUAGAGUAUGUGUUCUAAAUGAUCCAAUUAUCAAUAACCAAAUCCUGAAGCAGGGUAAUAAUUCAAAGUAUGUGAUAAUACGGAUUAGAUUGUUGAUUACAUUUUUAUUUUAUUGAUUUUAAGACAAGCUCGCACCUCUUGUAUGUGAUAAUUUGGGGGGCGUGACAAAGGUGGUAUCGGAGCAUGAUUUAAGGAUUACUAAGAUAUUUGAUUCAUUUGAUGUGCAAAAUGAUAUAGAGGUUUAGGAAAGACAUCUGGUUCUCUUGAGGAAUGAAGUAGGAAAGGUAGUGAAGUCGAAAUUUAAAUUUUCGAGGAUGUCUUAUUGAGAUUUGGGAUUGAGUGUGUGUUCGAAGUGACCCAAAUUAUGAUUUGAAUAUUAUCAUAAAAGGUCAUGACUUAAUGAUAUUGAUGGCCUCUAUCUAUGUGCAAUCAGAUCUCUUUCAACAAAUUUAGAAACGGCAUCUAAGGGAUACACAUUUAAUCUACUUGACAAAUGAAGUAUAAAAGGGAUUGAAGUCGAAUUUUUAAAUUUUGGACGAUGGCCUUUUGUGUUUUGGGAUAUAUUAUGUUUUCUAAAUGACCCAAUUAUCAAUAACCAAAUCCUGAAUCAAAGUCAUAAUUCAAAGUAUGUGAUAAUUUGAGGAUCAGAUUGUUGAUUACAUUUUAAUUUUAUGGAUUUUUAGACAAGGUCAAACCUCUUGUAUAUGAUAAUUUGGGCGGCGUGACAAAGGUGGUAUCGGAGCAUGAUUUAAGAAUUACUAAGAUAUUUGAUUAAUUUGAUAUUCAAAAUUAUAUUGAGGUUUAGUAAAUUAUAUAGAGAUCGAUGAAAAUUAUAUUUGAUGUCUUUUAGGAAUCUAGGAUGACAUCGACAUUUGGUCUUCUUGCUUAUGAAUUGUGGAUUAUGGGUGUGAAUUAUGACUUGAACGAUUUUUGGUGUCCCCAUAUUUAGUUUGGAUUUUGUAUUAGAUUGUUGAUUAAAUUUUAAUAUUAUGGAUUUUAAGACAGAGUCACACCUCCUAAAUGUGAUAAUUCGGGGGGCGUGACAGAGGUGGUAUCAGAACAUUAUUUGAGGAUCACUGUAAGAUAUUUGAUACAUUUGAUGUGCCAAAUUAUAUUGCGAUUUAGUAAAUUAAAUAGAGAGCGAUAAAAAAUUUCUUUGAUAUCUUUUAGGAACCUAAGAUUCCAAGAACAUCUGGUCCUCUUGAGGAAUGAAGUCGGAAAGGUAACGAAAUAGAAUUUUUAAAUUUUAGAGGAUGGCUUAUUGCGAUUUGGGAUAGAGUGUGUGUUCGAAAUGACCCAAAUUAUGAUUUGAAUAUUAAGAGGAAAGGGCAUGACUCAAUGAUAUCGAUGGCUCUAUCUAUGUGCAAUCUGAUCUCAUUUAACAAUUUUAGAAAGGGCAACUAUGAGAUCCACAUAUAAUCUACUUGAGGAAUGAAGUAGAAAAGGAAUUUAAGUCGAAUUUUUAAAUUUUGGAGGAUGGCCUUUUGAGUUUAGGAAUAGAGUAUGUGUUCUAAAUGAUCCAAUUAUCAAUAACCAAAUCCUGAAGCAGGGUAAUAAUUCAAAGUAUGUGAUAAUACGGAUUAGAUUGUUGAUUACAUUUUUAUUUUAUGGAUUUUAAGACAAGGUCGCACCUCUUGUAUGUGAUAAUUUGGGGGGCGUGACAAUGGUGGUAUCGGAGCAUGAUUUAAGGAUACUAAGAUAUUUGAUUCAUUUGAUGUGCAAAAUGAUAUUGAGGUUUAGUAAAGACAUCUGGUCCUCUUGAGGAAUGAAGUAGGAAAGGUAGUGAAGUCGAAAUUUUAAAUUUUCGAGGAUGGCUUAUUGAGAUUUGGGAUUGAGUGUGUGUUCGAUCUGACCCAAAUUAUGAUUUAAAUAUUAUCAUAAAAGGAC
rnacentral:lncRNA from 1 species